rnacentral:rRNA from 1 species
GAAUAUUGGGCAAUGGGCGCAAGCCUGACCCAGCAACGCCGCGUGAAGGACGAAGGCCUUCGGGUUGUAAACUUCUUUUUGGGGGGAAAAGAGAGGAUGGUACCCCCAGAAUAAGUCACGGCUAACUACGUGCCAGCAGCCGCGGUAAUACGUAGGUGACGAGCGUUAUCCGGAAUUACUGGGCGUAAAGCGCACGCCAGCGGUCUAACAAGUCUGGCGUGAAAUCCUCUGGCUUAACCAGGGGCGGUCGCUGGAGACUGUUAAACUUGAGGCGAUGAGAGGGGUGCAGAAUUCCCGGUGUAGUGGUGGAAUGCGUAGAUAUCGGGGGGAAUACCAGUGGCGAAAGCGGCACCCUGGCGUCGUACUGACGCACAUGUGCGAAAGCGUGGGGAGCGAACGGG